rnacentral:rRNA from 1 species
GUAGGGAAUCUUCCACAAUGGACGAAAGUCUGAUGGAGCAACGCCGCGUGAGUGAUGAAGGCUUUAGGGUCGUAAAACUCUGUUGUUGGAGAAGAACGUGUGUGAGAGUAACUGCUCAUGCAGUGACGGUAUCCAACCAGAAAGCCACGGCUAACUACGUGCCAGCAGCCGCGGUAAUACGUAGGUGGCAAGCGUUAUCCGGAUUUAUUGGGCGUAAAGCGAGCGCAGGCGGUCUUUUAAGUCUAAUGUGAAAGCCUUCGGCUUAACCGAAGAAGUGCAUUGGAAACUGGAAGACUUGAGUGCAGAAGAGGACAGUGGAACUCCAUGUGUAGCGGUGAAAUGCGUAGAUAUAUGGAAGAACACCAGUGGCGAAGGCGGCUGUCUGGUCUGUAACUGACGCUGAGGCUCGAAAGCAUGGGUAGCGAACAGGAUUAGAAACCCUAGUAGUCCC